AGUGCCGCCGAACACCACCUCUAGAUUUUGGAACCACCACAGCAAUCUACGGACACCGUGCAACACUUAUCCGAGCUUAGAAUCGCGUUUGAGUUUUUGGCAGACCCUGCAUUAAAUUGGAUGGUUUAAUUAUUGCGUAGAUGAGAAGUUAUGGUGGAUUGUGAUAUUGAAAUUCAUGUGUAGAUGAAGAAUUGUGCGAUUAAUAAAUUUAUCGGAAUAAUCGUAAUUUAUGUAGUAAUUAUUCAAUACUUAAAUACGUAAGGAUUUGGAUUUAAAUUGUAAAUGAGGAGAUAUUUUGUUUUAGAAAAAAAAUAGUUACUACUUAUAAGCUAAUCUCAAA